rnacentral:rRNA from 1 species
GCCUCAGUAACGGCGAGUGAAGCGGCAAGAGCUCAAAUUUGAAAUCUGGCGUCUUUGGUGCCCGAGUUGUAAUUUGAAGAGGAUGCCUCGGUUGUAGCCCCGGCCUAAGUUUCUUGGAACAGGACGUCGCAGAGGGUGAGAAUCCCGUACGCGGCUGAAGGCUUACUUCCAUGUGUGGCUCCCUCGAAGAGUCGAGUUGUUUGGGAAUGCAGCUCAAAAUGGGUGGUAAAUUUCAUCUAAAGCUAAAUACUGGCGAGAGACCGAUAGCGCACAAGUAGAGUGAUCGAAAGAUGAAAAGCACUUUGAAAAGAGAGUUAAACAGUACGUGAAAUUGUUGAAAGGGAAGCGCUUGCAAUCAGACUUGCUUUCAGUUGAUCAACGUUCCUUUUGGUUCGUGCACUCUUCUGUUUGCAGGCCAGCAUCGGUUAGGACGGCGGGACAAAGGCUCCAGGAAUGUGGCCCCUCGGGGUGUUAUAGCCUGGUGCGCAAUGCCGCCUGCCCUGACCGAGGUCCGCGCUUCGGCUAGGAUGCUGGC